rnacentral:rRNA from 1 species
CACUACGGCCAUGCCACUCUGAACAUACCUGAUCUCGUCUGAUCUUGGAGGCUAAGCAGGUCGGGCCUGGUUAGUACUUGGAUGGGAGACCACCUAGGAAGACCGGGUGCUGUAGGCG